AAAAUCUGGCUCCAGUUGAGUCACAGCAACAGGUGGCUGUUCCUCUGAACAACAAGGGUUGCUAGCACAUAAAUGCUAGAGGUAUUCAAACAGACUGCAACGCGGCAGCAUGUCUGCCGGAAAGGCAGCCCAGGCCUUCCUGACUAUAAUCAAGAGCCGAUGCCAAGGCAGGGAAGUUACACACAGCCAGAGGAAUUUCAAGGUCGGGAGAACAAACCUAUCCCGGGGAAGCCAGCAAAUUCCUUGCUGAUGGAGCCCUCUGAUUUAUCUGGAAGGAGAGGAAAUCACAGGCCUGCAUAGCAUAGAGUGAUAACCUUGGGUUAGUUCAAUAUAAACCUCAGGCGUUAUUUUCUGCAUCCCCGCCUGAAGGGACCUUGGUGAGUUAGUCCUGCAAAUAAAAGCCAAAGCUGUGUGACUGGUACCCAGAUGUCCUGGAGGCCCCUGGGCUUGGAGAAGACUUGUUCGAGGACCUGGGCCUCUGCAGCUCUACUCUGCUAUGCUCACACAGAGCUGAUACAUCUUAGCAAGCAACAGACAACCUGAGAGCAUGAAUCCCUUCUUUAUCUGGGGCAAAGCUUUUCCCUUCAAGAUGACUUCAAGGCAAAAUGUGGUUGAUUUAAAGCAGACACGUCAGAUGAUCAGGCUCUGAAGAGUCACACUGGAAAGCUGAAGUCUUUCUUGGUACGCUGUCAUGCAGAUUUAGGUGGAGCGGUGGCGCAGAGGUUAAGAGCGCUAGCUGCUCUUGUAGAGGACCCAGGUUCAGUUCCCAGCAGCCACAUCAGGUGGCUCCCAACCAUCUGUAACCCCAGCUCCAGGGAGCCUAAGUCUCUGACCUCUGAGGCUGUCAUACAGAGACACUCAUAUACCUAUAAAUAAAUAAACAUAAGUUUUUAGAAAGCAAUGUUGUUUGGGCAGUGUGUUUCCACAUUUUUCGUAUUUUUUUUUCAAGAUCCUGAAAGAGUUAGUAGUAUUAGUUCUGCAUCCUUCAAAAUAUCUCUUUCUAAAAACCUGUGAAAAUACAGCCUGAGGUUUUUGUGC
rnacentral:lncRNA from 1 species